rnacentral:rRNA from 1 species
GACCCCGCACAAGCGGCGGAGCAUGCGGCUUAAUUCGAUGAUACCCGUAGAACCUUACCUGGACUUGACAUAUAGGGUCAAGCUAUAGAGAUAUAGUGUGCAUUAGCGCCCUAUACAGGUGGUGCAUGGCUGUCGUCAGCUCGUGUCGUGAGAUGUUGGUUAAGUCCCGCAACGAGCGCAACCCCUGUCCUAUGUUGCCAGCAUUUAGUUGGGGACUCAUAGGAGACUGCCGGUGAUAAACCGGAGGAAGUGGGAGCGACGUCAAGUCAUCAUGCCCUUAUGUCCAGGGCUGCACGCAUGCUACAAUGGCAAGUACAACGAGUCGCAAUACCGCGAGGUGGAG